rnacentral:rRNA from 1 species
GGGUGAGUAAUACAUCGGAACAUGUCCUGUAGUGGGGGAUAGCCCGGCGAAAGCCGGAUUAAUACCGCAUACGAUCUAGGGAUGAAAGCGGGGGACCUUCGGGCCUCGCGCUAUAGGGUUGGCCGAUGGCUGAUUAGCUAGUUGGUGGGGUAAAGGCCUACCAAGGCGACGAUCAGUAGCUGGUCUGAGAGGACGACCAGCCACACUGGGACUGAGACACGGCCCAGACUCCUACGGGAGGCAGCAGUGGGGAAUUUUGGACAAUGGGCGAAAGCCUGAUCCAGCAAUGCCGCGUGUGUGAAGAAGGCCUUCGGGUUGUAAAGCACUUUUGUCCGGAAAGAAAUCCUUGGCUCUAAUACAGUCGGGGGAUGACGGUACCGGAAGAAUAAGCACCGGCUAACUACGUGCC